rnacentral:rRNA from 1 species
UGGGGGAUAUUGCACAAUGGGCGAAAGCCUGAUGCAGCGACGCCGCGUGGGGGAUGAAGGCCUUCGGGUUGUAAACUUCUUUUGCUCUGAACAAGGCAUGCUAAUGGGUGUGUUGAGUGUAGGGGUUGAUUAGCGCCGGCUAACUACGUGCCAGCAGCCGCGGUAAUACGUAGGGCGCGAGCGUUGUCCGGAAUUAUUGGGCGUAAAGGGCUUGUAGGUGGCUGGUUGCGUCUGUCGUGAAAGCUCAUGGCUUAACUGUGGGGUUGCGGUGGGUACGGGCUGGCUUGAGUGCAGGAGGGGAGGCUGGAAUUCCUGGUGUAGCGGUGGAAUGCGCAGAUAUCAGGAGGAAUACCGGUGGCGAAGGCGGGUCUCUGGGCUGUUACUGACACUGAGGAGCGAAAGCAUGGGGAGCGAACAGG